rnacentral:rRNA from 1 species
UACGAGAGGCCCAAACGUUAUUCGGAAUUACUGGGCUUAAAGAGUUCGUAGGCGGCAUGAAAAGUAGGGUGUGAAAGCCCUCGGCUCAACCGAGGAAUUGCGCUCUAAACUGUCGUGCUCGAGGAACCUAGAGGUGAGCAGAACAGAUGGUGGAGCGGUGAAAUGCGUAGAUAUCGGGAGGAACACCUGUGGCGAAAGCGGCUCACUGGACAGUAACUGACGCUGAUGCGCGAAAGCUAGGGGAGCAAACAGG